CCAGUUCUUUUCAGAUGUCACAUGAAAAGACGCACCAGAAUCUAAUAUCCAUUCAUGCAUGUGAAAAUUAGUAGUUAUAUUUAAUUCAGUAGUGUAUGCGACUGGACUAGUGAUCACAUAGACUUCACCGUUUUCGGUAUCGGAGGUAGAGGAUAACACAUUUACCUCAUCUCUUUCCUUAACCUUUUGUUUUCCCUUUUCUUUAUGACAGUCUUUUAUAAAAU
rnacentral:lncRNA from 1 species